rnacentral:snoRNA from 1 species
AAUCCAAGAAUAAAAAAAAGCCCAGUAGAUUUUAGUGGCUGUGCUUAGGGGAUAGAGUAACAUCGCCAUGAUCUGAAGGGGGAGGAUUUGUUUGUGUCCUCCUUCUAUAUGAAAUGGCUAAACAGAAAAAA